GUAGCUUGCUACCCGCUGACGAGCGGCGGACGGGUGAGUAAUGCAUAGGAAUCUGCCCGGUAGUGGGGGAUAACCUGGGGAAACCCAGGCUAAUACCGCAUACGUCCUACGGGAGAAAGGGGGCUUCGGCUCCCGCUAUUGGAUGAGCCUAUGUCGGAUUAGCUAGUUGGUGAGGUAAAGGCUCACCAAGGCAACGAUCCGUAGCUGGUCUGAGAGGAUGAUCAGCCACAUCGGGACUGAGACACGGCCCGAACUCCUACGGGAGGCAGCAGUGGGGAAUAUUGGACAAUGGGGGCAACCCUGAUCCAGCCAUGCCGCGUGUGUGAAGAAGGCCCUCGGGUUGUAAAGCACUUUCAGCGAGGAAGAACGCCUGUCGGUUAAUACCCGGUAGGAAAGACAUCACUCGCAGAAGAAGCACCGGCUAACUCCGUGCCAGCAGCCGCGGUAAUACGGAGGGUGCAAGCGUUAAUCGGAAUUACUCGCAGAAGAAGCACCGGCUAACUCCGUGCCAGCAGCCGCGGUAAUACGGAGGGUGCAAGCGUUAAUCGGAAUUACUGGGCGUAAAGCGCGCGUAGGUGGCUUGAUAAGCCGGUUGUGAAAGCCCCGGGCUCAACCUGGGAACGGCAUCCGGAACUGUCAGGCUAGAGUGCAGGAGAGGAAGGUAGAAUUCCCGGUGUAGCGGUGAAAUGCGUAGAGAUCGGGAGGAAUACCAGUGGCGAAGGCGGCCUUCUGGACUGACACUGACACUGAGGUGCGAAAGCGUGGGUAGCAAACAGGAUUAGAUACCCUGGUAGUCCACGCCGUAAACGAUGUCGACCAGCCGUUGGGUGCCUAGAGCACUUUGUGGCGAAGUUAACGCGAUAAGUCGACCGCCUGGGGAGUACGGCCGCAAGGUUAAAACUCAAAUGAAUUGACGGGGGCCCGCACAAGCGGUGGAGCAUGUGGUUUAAUUCGAUGCAACGCGAAGAACCUUACCUACCCUUGACAUCUACAGAAGCCGGAAGAGAUUCUGGUGUGCCUUCGGGAACUGUAAGACAGGUGCUGCAUGGCUGUCGUCAGCUCGUGUUGUGAAAUGUUGGGUUAAGUCCCGUAACGAGCGCAACCCUUGUCCUUAUUUGCCAGCACGUAAUGGUGGGAACUCUAAGGAGACUGCCGGUGACAAACCGGAGGAAGGUGGGGACGACGUCAAGUCAUCAUGGCCCUUACGGGUAGGGCUACACACGUGCUACAAUGGCCGGUACAAAGGGCUGCGAGCUCGCGAGAGUCAGCGAAUCCCUUAAAGCCGGUCUCAGUCCGGAUCGGAGUCUGCAACUCGACUCCGUGAAGUCGGAAUCGCUAGUAAUCGUGAAUCAGAAUGUCACGGUGAAUACGUUCCCGGGCCUUGUACACACCGCCCGUCACACCAUGGGAGUGGACUGCACCAGAAGUGGUUAGCCUAACGCAAGA
rnacentral:rRNA from 1 species